AUCUACAUUAUAAUUUCCACUUAUAAAACGUUCAUGUCUGUGUGCAUAAGGCAUAACAGGUCUAUAUCUAGGAAAAUGGAUCCAUUUUUCUCCUUUUGAUUUGGCUCCUAUUAACAUUGUUAUAAUACAGUUUCUUCGAUAAAUAAUAACAACAUCAUACUAUGUCAGUGAUUGACUGCUGCCCUGUUUCUAUUUUCAAACAGACAACCAGACAUCAUGUGUGGGGGCAGCUGCUAACACCCCAUCAUCAGUUAAGCACAGAGAAGCUGUGUCUCGGCUCAGUGGAUUUCCUUCUUGAGGCAUAAAAUGCAGAGGCGGUCUGAAGGUGCAGACUGCAGUCUCAAUUUAUUCUACGUAGAAAACAGACGCUACUGAAGUCGCACUUGCAGUCAGAACUCCGGGCCCCUCGGGGCGUGACUGCCCAGCUGUGUCACCCGGAGCAGCUCAUGCUGCUUCUAAGCUCAGCUUCCUUGUUGGCAAAGGGCCCUACUGUGUGGCACACGCCGUGCACGUCAGGACAAGCACAACGCAUGGCGCACACCACCUGCUGGGAGAGGCAAUUGUGCACUCUACAGCCACAGGGACAGGACACAGCGCGGUGAGCCCACCCGGUCCAGGAGCGCUGGGAAAGGGCCCCAGGAGAGGCAGCAGAGCUGAGACAGGACGACGACCAGGAGCGACCAGGAAGGGGAGGAGGAGAGUGCUCUGGGCAGAGGGGACAGCGUGUACAAAGGCCCGGAGUGAAGGAGACAAAGAAGAAAGAAUAAGCAAACACACAAGUAAGACAGUGCCGCCUUCCAGGAAAGAAAAGGAGCCAGCUGAUGUGGCGAGUGGCUGGCGAGGCUGGGCUGGGCAGUGGAGGACAGUCAGGUCGGCAGUGGCGACUCUGGGAAGGUGUCAACCAUGCGGGGACCCGGGGGAAGAGCAUUCCAUUCAAAAGGACAGGCGUGCAAAGGCCCUGGGGUGGGAAUGCACUUGAUGUGGCGCAGAGCAAGGCAGACGCAUGGCGGGAGCGGAGUGGAAUGGGCGGGGAGUGGCCCAGAGUGCGGCAGGGUGGGCAGGGGAAGAAGGGCGUGUAGAUCUUACUUGAAAUGCAGAGGAAGCCCCGAGAGGGUUCGAGCACAGGGUGACACCACCUGACGGCCACGUCGAAUAUUACUCUGGCUGCUGUGUGCAGCUGGGGGCGGCUGGGAGGCUGGCGCUGGCCUCCGGGGUAGACAGUGAAACCAGGGGCAAGGCUGGUGAUGGUGACGAUGGGUACCGGUGGAAAUCGGACGUGAGCUGCAGGUGGAGCCGGCAUCCCCCGGGGAGGACUGGCAGAGGGUGGAGCUCUGUCCUGCCAGGAGUGCCGUGAAAAUGCACAGACGCUCACACCUAGAUCCUGCAGAUACCACGUGUCCCCAGCCUUCACCCACGCGGCUCAGGGAAGCUGCUUCCCCCUAGCAGACGCAGCAGCCGUGGAAAUGACCACAGAGGACACACGGCUGUGCAGCCCUGGUUGGGCACCUGCUCCAGGGACCUGGCAACCACCACAUCCCGUGCCCCUGCAAGCCCCUGUGGCCACCCAGGCCUGUCAGCCAAGGCAAGAGGGACACACACUCCCGUCUUCACUGAGAACCUGCCUGGCUGCCUCCGUCACUGCACACCUGCGCAACCCAGCCCAGCAGAGGACAAGAAUUCCCUGCGUUCAGGGGGCUCCGAAAAGACAUAAGGAACCCAACCCUGCAUGCCACGCUCUGAGCGGGAAGGAAGGCCGCAUGUGGACGCCUGUCCUGCUCACUGUGCCUCCAGGGCUCUGACGGUGCUGAGCACAGAUGUGGUGCUUGGGCAGUGCUUGUGGGGUGCAUGAUGGAAGGGCACCCUGGCCCCAGCAAUGACCAGCUCUAGAAACCCCUCCGGCCUGGAAGUCCUUCCUUCCCACCCCACCCCAGCCCCUGCCACACAAAAACAAGACAAUCCCAUCUGGACACAGCUACAGGGGACCCACCCAACGGCCCUGCCCGCACAAAAAAAGAGCUCGGGCAGGGCCAGCCUGGUCUGCACACGGAGGGUGGGCAUGCAGGAGACCCAGGGCACUGCCUGGCACGAGCCAUGAAUGUCCUGGAGGGCAGGGCGGGGCUCGUCGCGCGCCAUUUAGCUCGGGAGGAGAGGAAGCUGCAAAUGAAGUGGUCUCUGUGACGGGGUGGCGAUUUCUCUAAUAAGCGUCACCUCUGUGACGGGGUGGCGAUUUCUCUAAUAAGCGUCACCUCUGUGACGGGGUGGCGAUUUCUCUAAUAAGCGUCACCUCUGUGACGGGGUGGCGAUUUCUCUAAUAAGCGUCACCUCUGUGACGGGGUGGCGAUUUCUCUAAUAAGCGUCACCUCUGUGACGGGGUGGCGAUUUCUCUAAUAAGCGUCACCUCUGUGACGGGGUGGCGAUUUCUCUAAUAAGCGUCACCUCUGUGACGGGGUGGCGAUUUCUCUAAUAAACGUCAUCUCUGUGAUGGGGUGGCGAUUUCUCUAAUAAAUGUCAUCUCUGUGACGGGGUGGUGAUUUCUCUAAUAAGCAUAAUCGUCACUGCCCCACCAUAGGGAGAGGAAGCAGAGGGGCCCUGGAGGAAGCACAGUGAGCAACCACGUGGAGCUGCAGAGCCCUCUCCGCUCACUGCUGUCCUAAGAGGGCAGCCGAGAGUUCGUGUGCAGGUGCUGGCACCCGGGCCUGCAGCAAGAACACUCGGGGAAAAGGCCACACAGCGGUGGGGGACGUGUCAGCGGAGGCAUCGCAUGUACUUCCAGGGUACCAAAGUGAGUUGUGAAACCUCCUACUACGCUGAAUUUUCAAAGCAGGCGUCAGAACCCGUGAGAUGAUUCGUGCUCGUGGAGGAUCUAGGCGGGGUCGCGAGUGGCACAAUAAGCUGUGGACCUGUGAGACUGUCUUUGAAUAGAGCUGUUUUGUGAGCUCUGCCUCCACCGCCAGGGUGGAGAGGGAACGUCUGCCGCCUACUGAAUGCCUGUGUAGCCUAGGAGAGGGCUUCAGUAGAGCCUGGGGGAGCCCUGUGUGCCCCUUGCGGGGGACAGGGUUGGAGCUGGUGCCUGACACUUGGAGAAGGACAUUUGGGCUGUGUCUCAGGGCUAAGGGCUGCAUUUUGGAAAGCAAUGUCACCCCCUCUAUCUGUGGGGCACAGCGGCAGGAACCCCAGAGCCAAGGGUGGAGGCUGCGAUAGGAGAGAAGUCAGGCUGGUUCAUCUGAAGGCCUCCCUUCCGGGGCAGCAGUUCACCAAACAGACACAAAUGGCUCCCCAGCUUCCCACAGGGAAGGCAGGUAGGCACCUGGCAUGUGCGGGGACGAGGCAAUGACACCUCUCAGGGUUUCCGAGUGUUGGCAGAAGUGACCCGGAUGUUUGGUAUGCAGAGCUGGCCCCUGGGGAGAAGCCAAGUCACUUCCUGAGGUUUUGGGGAGACAAGGUGUUGACACCCAGGCCCAACCCUGGGGGCACAAGAAUCAAAGACACAGAGAUCCAUGGAGGUGGCCCUGGGGGUCCAGUACAAUGGGAUGGUGGAGAGGGGCC
rnacentral:lncRNA from 1 species